rnacentral:lncRNA from 1 species
GGGCCCGAUGGAGUCCUUGUGUUGUUAACAAGGCUCUCAUCUUGAUCCACCAUAGCAAAAAAUAAUUUCUAUCAUUGAACAACUCCAUGUGAUACUUGAUACCGGACUUCGAUGUCAACAUCCCAAAUCAAUCACUAAUCACCACCAAAAUAGAUCGCAAGCAACCUCAAGCCCUAAAGCUCUAAAUGCCAAUUUGUUAUGACCUAAGCGGAACUAAGGCAUAUCUAGGAUUAUGGUAUUGAAUAGAUAAUCACAAGAGUGACAACAAGAAAUAAACAAUAACUAUACAACACAAAAGAUUUACGUGUUUCAGCUUUUUGAUCCUACAUCCAUGGGCGAGAGAAAAAGAAAAUUCACUAUUGAAAAUAUAAAGUACAAGGAGAUGGAACACUCACACUCAAACCCAAGAGCCCAAAUGCACCC